GUGCCAGCCGCCGCGGUAAGACAGAGGGUGCAAACGUUGUUCGGAAUUACUGGGCGUAAAGCGAGUGUAGGCGGUUUGGUAAGUCGGAUGUGAAAGCCCCGGGCUCAACCCGGGAAGUGCACUCGAUACUGCCAAGCUAGAGUAUCGGAGAGGUUGGUGGAAUUCUCGGUGUAGAGGUGAAAUUCGUAGAUAUCGAGAGGAACACCGGUGGCGAAGGCGGCCAACUGGACGAAUACUGACGCUGAGACUCGAAAGCGUGGGGAGCAAACAGGAUUAGAAACCCCCGUAGUCC
rnacentral:rRNA from 1 species